AAAAGUUUGCUUGGGUUUUUCUGUAAGAUGUUACAGGGGAAACCCGAACGAACUUUUUG
rnacentral:pre_miRNA from 1 species